GAUGAACGCUAGCGGCAGGCCUAACACAUGCGAGUCGAGGGAGGAGCUUUCGGGCUUCGACCGGCGUACGGGUGCGUAACGCGUAUACAAUCUGCCUUUCACAUAGGGAUAGCCCGAAGAAAUUUGGAUUAAUACCUAAUGGUAUAUAGGAGUGGCAUCACAUUUAUAUUAAAGCUGAGGCGGUGAAAGAUGAGUAUGCGUUCUAUUAGCUAGUUGGAGAGGUAACGGCUCCCCAAGGCGACGAUAGAUAGGGGUUCUGAGAGGGAUAUCCCCCACACUGGUACUAAGAUACGGACCAGACUCCUACGGGAGGCAGCAGUGAGGAAUAUUGGACAAUGGUCGGAAGACUGAUCCAGCCAUGCCGCGUGCAGGAAGACGGCCUUAUGGGUUGUAAACUGCUUUUGCAGGGGAAGAAUAAGGACUACGAGUAGUUUGAUGACGGUACUCUGCGAAUAAGCAUCGGCUAACUCCGUG
rnacentral:rRNA from 1 species